rnacentral:rRNA from 1 species
UACGGAGGGUGCGAGCGUUGUCCGGAAUCACUGGGCGUAAAGGGCGCGUAGGUGGCGUCGCAAGUCAACGGUGAAAGCUCGGCGCUCAACGCCGAGUCGGCCGUCGAGACUGCGAGGCUCGAGCACUGUAGGGGCAGAUGGAAUUCCGGGUGUAGCGGUGGAAUGCGUAGAGAUCCGGAAGAACACCGGUGGCGAAGGCGGUCUGCUGGGCAGUUGCUGACACUGAUGCGCGACAGCGUGGGGAGCAAACAGG